rnacentral:lncRNA from 1 species
UGUUGUGAAGAAGUUGGACUAUUGGCUUAGUUCUCUCCAGUUCCAGAAAAUGCCUCAGAUGAGUUAUAUUUAGGCAUUCUGGUCUUCAUCUUAAUAAAACAGUUGGCAAACAGCUCCCCGUUGUUGCAAUUAUUUUUAGGAAUUUAGACAAGACUCUAUGUGCAAUCUUCAUCACUCAGGGAUAUGUUUUAAAACAAUUCAUUGCUAUAAAAAGCUUGGCUCUCUUAAGGAAGUGGUACAUUGCUUCCUUUUUAUGUCAGUAAGAUGUAAACAACUGACUACAGAAUCACCUGUGUCAUAAUGUAAACAAACAGCUCGUUCAUUACAUAUGGCUAAAUGAUGCAGUCUAGAUGUGUAGUGGACUAUAGAUAGCAUUUAGGUUUUCGUGAGAACACUUUGAUGUUUAAAUGGCAACGAUACCCAAUGGUGCACUUCUCAGAAUGCUUUGUUUUCAUUGAGUGACUCAUGACUAUUUUCCUCUAUCAUCUGUAUUUUUAUGUCUUGAAACUAUUUAUUCAAAAAUUGUGAAAAUGUUUCUAGGGUAAUAUGAAUCACAAUUAGAUCAGAACUUGGCUCCCAAACUUCAUUUGGAUACAGUUCUUAAGUGGGAGCUGGCUAGUGGUGUCUUCUACAGGUGAAGAGUCAGGACAUGAUCAUUUUGUGGUUAUUUUCAAUUCAGUGUUUGACAUAAAUUUUAAUAAUUGGUCUGUUUUUCUAUAGCUUAUAAAAAAACAAGGUAAAACACAUUACCUGGAAGAUUACUUGAGAUGUUCUCUGCCACCCUUUCAAUAAAGCAAAGGAUCAAGUGGGUGCUCCAUAAACAGCCCACAAACACCUGCAAUCAAUACCUUUCCAAAAUGAAUGUGAGCAAGAGGCUUCUUCUAUGACAACUUCUAUGACAACUUUCAACAGCCCACUCUGACAGGGAAAGUUUCUUCUCUCAAAUUCGAUGAUUUAACAUAAAACACUUCACUACAGCUGCAUUUUGAAACAUUAUGGCCAUGUGGAUAUUGUUUAGCACUAUAAAUAAAAGAUCCAUAAACAGAUAUUGGGGUUCAAGCUUCAAGCUGAAGAUCGGAGAAGCAAAUCAGCCAAGCCACUAGCUCUUCCCUCUACCUCAGCUCAGACCAAAGGGGAGAUCCCCAAACUGCUUAUGACUUCACUGCUCCUCAGAUUCACUCAGACUGUUAUGCUCUCCUCAACGUGGCUGGAGAUUAAUUCUCAGACUGAAUGCUAGCUCUGAGACCCUGCUCCUGACUUAUAUACCUCCCUAAUGCUGGGAUUAAAGGCAAAUGAUCCCAGGUGCUGAGAUCACCUUUGUGUGAGCUGUUUUUUUUU